AUGCCCCAGGCAUGGAAUUUGGGGAAAAGUGGUGACAGCGUGUGUGAAAACUUGCAAAAACAAGAUGCAAGAAAAAUGGGGCAGAGUGAAAAAAGAUGGGCAAUACGGAAGUCUCCUAUGGGAUCACAAGCUCAAAAUCGCUUGGAUGUCAUAAUGUGGAGCAGUGUCUUGGGCCAUAACCAUGAUUUACUGUGGAGUUUCUGAAAAACAUGGAAAAUAAUCUUAAUGAGUCACAAGAAACCUAGGAUUGAAGCAACUCAUAAUAUCACAAAAGAAGGUAAGAUAAAAAGAAAUACAAGAAACCUAGAUACAUUCCAGAUUUGAGUUAUUAAUAUUGUAUAUGUAGUGAG
rnacentral:lncRNA from 1 species